AUUGAACGCUGGCGGCAUGCCUUACACAUGCAAGUCGAACGGCAGCACGGGUGCUUGCACCUGGUGGCGAGUGGCGAACGGGUGAGUAAUACAUCGGAACAUGUCCUGUAGUGGGGGAUAGCCCGGCGAAAGCCGGAUUAAUACCGCAUACGAUCUACGGAUGAAAGCGGGGGACCUUCGAGCCUCGCGCUAUAGGGUUGGCAGAUGGCUGAUUAGCUAGUUGGUGGGGUAAAGGCCUACCAAGGCGACGAUCAGUAGCUGGUCUGAGAGGACGACCAGCCACACUGGGACUGAGACACGGCCCAGACUCCUACGGGAGGCAGCAGUGGGGAAUUUUGGACAAUGGGCGAAAGCCUGAUCCAGCAAUGCCGCGUGUGUGAAGAAGGCCUUCGGGUUGUAAAGCACUUUUGUCCGGAAAGAAAUCCUUGGCCCUAAUACGGUCGGGGGAUGACGGUACCGGAAGAAUAAGCACCGGCUAACUACGUG
rnacentral:rRNA from 1 species